GACGAAAGCUGGCGGUGUGCUUAACACAUGCAAGUCGAACGGUAAGGCCCUUUCGGGGGUACACGAGUGGCGAACGGGUGAGUAACACGUGAGUAACCUGCCCUCCUCUCUGGGAUAACAGUCGGAAACGGUUGCUAAUACUGGAUAUGAGCUUGCGAGGCAUCUUGUGGGUUGGAAAGGUUUUUUUUGGUGGGGGAUGGACUGGCGGCGUAUCGGAUUGUGGGUGUGGGAGUGGCUAACCAGGUCUUCGAGGGGUAGCCGGCCUGAGAGGGCGACAGGCCACAUAGGGACUGAGGUACGGCCCAAACUCCUACGGGAGGCAGCAGUGGGGAAUAUUGCACAAUGGACGGAAGUCUGAUGCAGCAACGCCGCGUGCGGGAUGACGGCCUUCGGGUUGUAAACCGCUUUCAAUUGUGACGAAGCUUUUUUGUGACGGUAGCAGUAGAAGAAGCACCGGCUAACUACGUG
rnacentral:rRNA from 1 species